rnacentral:misc_RNA from 1 species
UGGGGCGUGUGAGUGGUGUUUGGAAUGUUGGGAUAGUCGGCUCCGUGCUCUUGCAUCGAACUACUAGACUACAUCCUUUUCAAUGCUCAAGCAUUACUUAUUUUUGCUUGUUUGUUGACAGUGUUCCUGUAUUUGAUACCCAUGUUGGUGGAACUACAUUUCUAUUUCCUUAUUCCUCUUUGUGCCUUUUUUGGGGCGUCGGGAGGAGCACGUAGUUUGAUCGGUCAAGCCUAGCAUGCCGAUUCGGUUGCAAAGGUUGUUAGAUCAAAGCUUCUGCUCUCGGAUGCAGAAAAUUCAAUGGGUCCAAGGAUUUAGUCCUUGUAUUUGCCCUAUACGGGAAAUCAUCCCUCGAUAUGAAUGACAUCCUUUGUGCGCUACGAUUUAUCCGAUGCUCACUCGAGUUUAGGAUACUUUGUGCGUGCAUUGGUGUCCUUGAAGGAAUGCUACCUGGUUGAUCCUGCCAGUAGUCAUAUGCUUGUCUCAAAGAUUAAGCCAUGCAUGUGG